rnacentral:rRNA from 1 species
UCCUACGGGAGGCAGCAGUAGGGAAUACUUCCGCAAUGGGCGAAAGCCUGACGGAGCAACGCCGCGUGAGUGAUGAAGGUCUUCGGAUCGUAAAACUCUGUUGUUAGGGAAGAACAAAUCUGUUAGUAACUGAACAAGUCUUGACGGUACCUAACCAGAAAGCCACGGCUAACUACGUGCCAGCAGCCGCGGUAAUACGUAGGUGGCAAGCGUUAUCCGGAAUUAUUGGGCGUAAAGCGCGCGUAGGCGGUUUCUUAAGUCUGAUGUGAAAGCCCACGGCUCAACCGUGGAGGGUCAUUGGAAACUGGGAAACUUGAGUGCAGAAGAGGAGAGUGGAAUUCCAUGUGUAGCGGUGAAAUGCGCAGAGAUAUGGAGGUACACCAGUGGCGAAGGCGGCUCUCUGGUCUGUAACUGACGCUGAUGUGCGA